AACCUAUUAACUCAAAUGGGAGAGCAAUGUGCCAUUGCACAUGGAUGUAGGUUCAAUUCCUACAUAGGUUG
rnacentral:tRNA from 1 species